rnacentral:rRNA from 1 species
AUGUCCGACAGCACCCACCGCGAGAGAUCCUGCUGCGGCAGCCUGUUCACCUUCCUCGUCGCCGCCGGCUUCGUCAUCCUCAUCUACUGGGCCAUCUUCCAGCCGCACCACAUCCGCGCGACGGUCAGCUCCGCCACGCUCGCCAACCUCACCGUGGCCCGCGACAACGCCACCGUCUCCUACCGCCUCACCGUCGGGCUCGAGCUCUACAACCCCAGCCUCCGCGUGCCCAUCUACUACGACGCGCUCGACGCCGAGCUCCGCGCCGGCGGCGGCGGCGCCCCCCUCGGCGGCCCCGCUGCCCGCGUCGCCUCCUCCCCGGCGGAGUUCCUGCAGCGCAGGAAGAGCGCCGACACGGUCAGGCUGGAGUUCGACGGGAGCGGCGGCGUCGGCGUCCCCGGCGACGUCGCCGGGGAGCUGGCGAGGGGGGCGGGCGCGGGGGCCGUGAGCUUUGAGGUGGACGUGGAUGCGCGGGUGCGCUACAGGUUCGCCAGCAUCAAGAUCCGCCAGAAGCCGAGGAUUUGGUGCUGGCUCACGGUUCCGGUCAAGCCGGAGGGUGGCGUCGGCGUCGGCGGCGCUCUGGCCUCCGGCGAGCGUUGUAGCGUUAAGUACUGA